rnacentral:rRNA from 1 species
UACGUAGGGUGCGAGCGUUAAUCGGAAUUACUGGGCGUAAAGCGUGCGCAGGCGGUUUUGUAAGCCAGAUGUGAAAUCCCCGGGCUUAACCUGGGAAUGGCAUUUGGGACUGCAAGGCUUGAGUGCGGCAGAGGAGACUGGAAUUCCUGGUGUAGCAGUGAAAUGCGCAGAUAUCAGGAGGAACACCGAUGGCGAAGGCAGGUCUCUGGGCAUUAACUGACGCUAAGGAGCGAAAGCAUGGGGAGCGAACAGG